ensembl:snoRNA
ACCAUUUUUUUGUUCACAAGCACAAUGCUUGAAUUUUCAUGCUCAUGUGAGAUAUAUCUCCUUUGAACCUUGUUACACCAGCAAGUUACCUGUCUGAUG